rnacentral:rRNA from 1 species
CCUACGGGAGGCAGCAGUGGGGAAUAUUGGGCAAUGGAGGCAACUCUGACCCAGCAACGCCGCGUGAAUGAUGAAGGUCUUCGGAUUGUAAAGUUCUUUUCUAAGGGAAGUAGAAAGUGACGGUACCUUAGGAAUAAGCCUCGGCUAACUACGUGCCAGCAGCCGCGGUAAUACGUAGGAGGCAAGCGUUAUCCGGAAUGACUGGGCGUAAAGGGUGCGUAGGUGGUUUGACAAGUUAGUAGCGCAACUCCGGGGCUCAACUUCGGAACUACUACUAAAACUGUUGGACUUGAGUGUAGGAGGGGCAAUCGGAAUUCCUAGUGUAGCGGUGGAAUGCGUAGAUAUUAGGAGGAACACCAGUGGCGAAGGCGGAUUGCUAGACUGUAACUGACACUGAGGCACGAAAGCGUGGGGAGCAAACAGGAUUAGAUACCCGAGUAGUC